CGUAGGAUGCAGUACUACAAUGUUGCUUAUCGCACCGGAUCACCUCUAUUAUUCCCCCUCUUUUUUCUUUUCUUUUUUUGUCUUUUUGGAAUUGCUAUAUAAAAGAUUGUCGGCCCACUGUAGUCUAGAGACGUCACUCUGCAACCAUGUCCGACAGAGGAGAACGCUUUGGCUUGCUCCAAAACGGAAAUGAGAGAGAGAGAGAGAAAACCCUAACCCUAAUGUGCAAAUCCCCAGAGAAACCUCCCGUGCUAGGGUUUCUGGCGCCUUGGUAGCGUCGGCGGCCCUGGUAUUUAUCUACCUCUACUUUCAGAAACGGAAGCAGUAUCACCAUUCAACUUGGCUCCACUUCGUUGAUCGUCUCUGGAUUGCCGUUCCUUUUCUCGUCAUUCACACGGUGGCGGCUCUGUAUCUGUCCCUCCGACCGCCGGUUCAGCUCGGCGAACUCCGGAGAAUGAAUUUGCAGACGUUGAGUUUUCUGACACUGGUUUUAGGAGGUUUAUUUGCCUUCGAGGUUGCUCGUUCAAGUUCGGCCGAGAAUUCCAGUGAUUUCAUCAACUACACUGUCGAGUGUUCAGAUGAAGUCGACCUCUCCUCAUUGUCUACCAUGACCUUUCCCAAUUCUCAGUGCCAGAUUACCCCAACCGCGGCCAUAAAACCUCCGUCCAGCCUUCUUAUUGCCCUAAUCCACUCAACCACAGCCCUAGUCCUUUCCCUCCGCCUCAUCCGUCGGAUUAUCCAUGGAGAGAACUAGCCUCAGCCCCAUGGAUAACCUGGAACAUCAUGUGGAUGUUACAGAUUCCUGGCUACAGAGGUUACAGAGGUGGUUGCUCCUGCAUGUGUCUGCUUUUGUCAGUUGCCGCUAUAUGGUUUCUGGUUUCUGAUGCUGAUCAAAUACUUGUAAUGCAAACAAUAGUAAGCAUUAUUUGUGUUUGUGUGUAUAUGACUUUUAACUACUGGUACUGUUGUUAAAACUUUCUAUUUUGUAUUAUGUAAUUCCUGCAUGGAUUGCGGUGUUGAACCAAACUACUCUUCUUAUAUUACAAGUAACCAAGUUCAUUGACACAUGGAAAUAUUGUGGAUGGUUACAAGAAUGCUUAAGAUCUCAUGAUGAUUAUUUUUUUAUUUUUUAUUUUUUUUUAAAAAUAAAAAAUAAAUCCCUUUGGUGUGCCAUAUAGCAUUCAUUGUGUCAUGACUGUUGACAAUGGUGCAGGAACAUAGCCCUUU